CAGUAGCCACGGGAAUACGUAGGGUGCAAGCGUUAAUCGGAAUUACUGGGCGUAAAGCGUGCGCAGGCGGUUUGUUAAGACAGAUGUGAAAUCCCCGGGCUCAACCUGGGAACUGCAUUUGUGACUGGCAAGCUAGAGUGUGGCAGAGGGGGGUGGAACUCCGCGUGUAGCAGUGAAAUGCGUAGAUAUGCGGAGGAACACCGAUGGCGAAGGCAGCCCCCUGGGCCAACACUGACGCUCAUGCACGAAAGCGUGGGGAGCAAACAGGAUUAGAUACCCGCGUAGUCCCUGUCUCUUAUAC
rnacentral:rRNA from 1 species